CAAUCAUUUAAGGUGUGAACCAUAGCUUUAAAUAAAGUUAAAUAUUAAAGGUGUUCAUAUGUUAUGCAAGCCAAACAUAUGAACAGAGUAAACAUAUGGACCGAGUUUAGUGUAAUCAAAUAUAACACAAACAGGUUCAUCUAGUUCAUUAAAUUCUAUCUGUGCAUUCCUUUAACAGAUACUGGUUGAACACCUACUAUGAACCAGGCACAGUGCUUUGCUGGGGGUACACAGAUGAUUGAAACACUGGUCUCCGCUUCAAAGAGCUAAUGGGAGAGGUAGACCCAUAAGCAGACAACUAUGACUCAAUGUGGGAGCAGAGUGCAACAGUUUGGAAGAGGACAUUAGAAUAUGGACAUUCAACAGAGGGAAGACCAUGUCAGGACACAGUGAGAAGAGGCCAUCUAUAAGCCAAGGAGAGAGGCGUCCAAAGGAGCCAAUCCUGCCAACACUUUGA
rnacentral:lncRNA from 1 species